rnacentral:sRNA from 1 species
UCACUGUAUCACGCCGAAGACAGCAGGUGCCGCAAGGCGUAAGUGAAACGCCUGCCGAGGAUGUAGAUUCUUUUCAGAGAAUGUAUUCCCGUCUGUCUUUGGUCAGGCGGGUUUUCUUUUG